AUUGAACGCUGGCGGCAGGCCUAACACAUGCAAGUCGAACGAGUGGCGGACGGGUGAGGAAUAUCUGGGAAACUGGCUGAUGGAGGGGGAUAACUACUGGAAACGGUAGCUAAUACCGCAUACCAUCAGAGGUGCCCAGUUGGGAGAAUCUAGUUGGUGGGGUAACGGCUCACCAAGGCGACGAUCCCUAGCUGGUCUGAGAGGAUGACCAGCCACACUGGAACUGAAACACGGUCCAGAAUCCAACGUGAGGCAGCAGUGGGGAAUAUUGCACAAUGGACGCAAGCCUGAUGCAGCAAUGCCGCGUGUAUAAAGAAGGCCUUCGGGUUGUAAAGUACUUUCAGCGGGGAGGCGUUACCCGCAGAAGAAGCACCGGCUAACUCCGUGCCAGCAGCCGCGGUAAUAC
rnacentral:rRNA from 1 species